GACGAACGCUGGCGGCGGGCCUAACACAUGCAAGUCGAGCGGAGCGGCGGACGGGUGAGUAUUGCUUAGGAAUCUGCCUGGUAGUGGGGGAUAACGUCCGGAAACGGGCGCUAAUACUGCUUACUAUCAGCUUAGCCUAGGUCGGAUUAGCUAGUUGGGGGGGUAAAGGCCUACCAAGGCGACGAUCCGUAACUGGGCGGAGAGGAUGAUCAGUCACACUGGAACUGAGACACGGUCCAGACUCCUACGGGAGGCAGCAGUGGGGAAUAUUGGACAAUGGGCGAAAGCCUGAUGCAGCCAUGCCGCGUGUGUGAAGAAGGUCUUCGGAUUGUAAAGCACUUUAAGUUGGGAGGCGUUACCAACAGAAUAAGCACCGGCUAACUUCGUGCCAGCAGCCGCGGUAAUAC
rnacentral:rRNA from 1 species